rnacentral:rRNA from 1 species
CAGCAGCCGCGGGAAUACGUAGGUGGCAAGCGUUGUCCGGAAUUAUUGGGCGUAAAGCGCGCGCAGGCGGCUUCCCAAGUCCCUCUUAAAAGUGCGGGGCUUAACCCCGUGAUGGGAAGGAAACUGGGAAGCUGGAGUAUCGGAGAGGAAAGUGGAAUUCCUAGUGUAGCGGUGAAAUGCGUAGAGAUUAGGAAGAACACCGGUGGCGAAGGCGACUUUCUGGACGAAAACUGACGCUGAGGCGCGAAAGCGUGGGGAGCAAACAGGAUUAGAUACCCGCGUAGUCCCUGUCUCUUAUACA